rnacentral:rRNA from 1 species
CCUACGGGUGGCAGCAGUGAGGAAUAUUGGUCAAUGGCCUAGAGGCUGAACCAGCCAAGUCGCGUGAGGGAAGACGGCCCUACGGGUUGUAAACCUCUUUUGUCGGGGAGCAAAGCGAGCCACGUGUGACUCAUUGAGAGUACCCGAAGAAAAAGCAUCGGCUAACUCCGUGCCAGCAGCCGCGGUAAUACGGAGGAUGCGAGCGUUAUCCGGAUUUAUUGGGUUUAAAGGGUGCGCAGGCGGAGGUGCAAGUCAGCGGUAAAAUUGCGGGGCUCAACCCCGUACUGCCGUUGAAACUGCAUCCCUUGAGUGCGCGAGAAGUAUGCGGAAUGCGUGGUGUAGCGGUGAAAUGCAUAGAGAUCACGCAGAACUCCGAUUGCGAAGGCAGCAUACCGGCGCGCAACUGACGCUCAUGCACGAAAGCGUGGGUAUCGAACAGGAUUAGAUACCCUAGUAGUC